GUAUCACUUCAGCAGGUCACCUGAGUUAGGCUUGGGGAGUUGUGCUGUGGUAUCUGCUCCCCAGGUACAGUUGUGGGACAGGUGUAGAGUAGAAAUUCUCAUUCAGAAAGAGUUCAAGCUAGCUCAGGAUUGAGCCAGGCAAACUGCAUGGGGUUCGAAGGCCUGUGGCUUAGGACCCUGCCUGGAGACCAUCUUGCCAGAGACCACUUGUAGCUGAGGGACUUCAGCAGCCUUCUUGCCUGUGAAUGUUGGGGUCCUACAGCCUCCUUUGACUUCAUCUUGUCUCUGUUCCUUUGGUCCAAGCUGGUAGGGGUUCUGCUGAUACAAACUUCUUGAGGUUUGUGGGUCCCUCUGUAUGCCACAGGGUCUGCUCCAUGAUAGUCUUCUGCAGGUCUUCAGUGGAUCAUCUCAUUCCAUUCUUGGCUCCUGUUGAGCUGGCUGAGAAGAGCCAUAAGUCAAGCUCCUGAUCUCUGGGUGGGCAUGUAAAUCCUCUGACUUGUGUCUCUUUCCUGGAUACCAGCCACCGCCGGCUCUCUCCAGAGCGUGCUUUCCUGGCAUGAGUCACCUCGCUAGUGUCUUGCAGUCUCGAGGCUCUGUGAAUUCCCCAGACCAUCAAGUCCUUCCUCUCUUUUCCUCAUCUUGCUGUAAGGGUCACAAAGCUAACCUGUGCCUUCCAGACUUGGCUCAGGAAUCUCAGUGGAAGGUCAGCUUCCUUCAUCUAGGAGUCCUGCUUUCUGCGCCCUGCCUGAUACAUGGAGCCAGCCUGUCCUCCAAUGCCCCUACCCUCUCUGGUGAUGCAUACUUCUGUCACCUAAGCUCACUGCAGCAUCUGCCAGUAGUGUUCUCCAAGGUGAUGCUGCUUCUCACCCUCUUCCCAGGCUUUUGCCUCCACAGCCUGCUCAAGGGAGCCAGGAUUUUUCUGUCAUGCUUCACAGAGGCCUUCCAGCCUUACUGUUGCCAAUUCUAC
rnacentral:lncRNA from 1 species